UUAAAACGUAAAUUAUAAAACUAAGUGACUAAUAGUUAAGUUCUUUAAAGCUAAAUGAUUUGGCGGUAUUUUAAACUUUUCAGAGGAACCUGUUCUAUAAUCGAUAAUCCACGAUUGAAUUAACUUAAAUUAGAAAUUUUUAUAUCGUCGUUAUUAAAUAUUUUAAAAGAAUUUAAUAUUUAUAAUUUUUAAUUUGAAAAUAAAUCAGAUCAAGGUGAAGUUUAUAUUUAAGAAGAAAUGGGUUACAUUAAAUUAUAUUUAUGGAUUACUAGUUUUAAAAAUUUAAUGAAAUUGGAUUUGAAAGUAAUUAGUUAUACUUAUUUCUAAUGAUUGAGCGCUAAAAUAUGC
rnacentral:rRNA from 1 species